rnacentral:lncRNA from 1 species
GUCCUCUGACUAAACUAUUACACUCAUGAUUGCUGCCUCUGCUAGUUUAAGGGGAUACAACGUUGCCAGAUAUUGCUACUAAAUUCAAAACAAAAGCAAUCCCACAGCAAAAGAGUAAAAUCAUGCAUUUUUAAAAUAGAAUUUUUCUUGCAUAUUGCAGAAUUGCUAACCCCACUCGUUAUCUUUCCACUCUAAUAACACUGUUAAAUUAAGUAUUAAAAACAUCCAAUGACGCAACUUGGAGGCUGCACCCAUCCUCCUGCAUAUCACAAAUGCAGAACUAUAAAAACAGUGACAUGCUUUUGAACAAAUCUUCAUUCACAGAACUUCAUGUUAGUUAAAAAAAUAAAUAAAUAAAUUACAGAAGUGGCCUAAAGGCUGGCUAUAGGCUUGGUUAGUUGUCAUACACAAAAAUACUUUAUAGUGUCUGACUGCAGACUUGCACAUGCAAGUUGGGUAUGAUCAAAACCAAGUGGUUGGGAUUGUCCACAUUUGACCAAAAUUUGAGUUUGAAUAACCAAUCAUUUUUUAGUGUGCUGGGAUUGUAAUUAUCAAUGUAUAAUGAAUGAGUACCACACUGCUAUCUUAAUAAUUAAGUACUAGAAUGUAAUAAGCCGUAGUACUUAAAAUAAGCACUAGAAGUUAUUGGAAAAGUCUACCAUAUAAUCUAAAAUCUAAGAGAUAUGUAGUAUGGCAUAUCAAUAGGUACUAGUAUGGUUAAUAUAGAUGUUAAUACGGCUUGCCAUACACACGCUCAGUAUAGCUGUAGAAUCUAGAUGCACACGAUUCAUUUUCAUGUUCGUUUUAACAUUUAAUCAGCCGUAGUUUAGUGUCGAAAUGUAUUUAGCUUAUAAAGCAACUAACAUAACCUCGUACAUUUGCCUAAAACUCUUAUUGACGUGCACGCGAUUCUAAUGCUAACGCUCGCUGUUUGAAACACACAGACGGGCAGAGCUACAGUUAAACCGUGCUCUGUUGGCCGUGUAAGGAUAUUGUGCGUGGGUUCUGGUUGCUAGCCGGUUUGAGGGUGCAUUUUGUCUCGACCAAUCCAGCGCUGUGCUCUAGGUCCCGGCAUGCCCAAUGCGGGCAGGGGGAGGCUCCGGCCAAUUUGAAUGAAGACUGGAGCUUUCGGCGCCAUUUUCGAGUGAGCAGCUACAGCAACAACAGCUGCCUGGAGAGGCUCCGUACUGUAGUCCAGUAAUUUGAGCGAGGGAAUGCUUCUCUUUUUUGUUUCCAGGGAACAACGAGAGAUUUUUUUCCUGAAAUCGAGCACAAAAUCGAGGCAGUAGUUUCCUGGUGGAUGAAUGCUGCAGACGCAAAAGACGAUGUCUAAUGACAACAAAUAGUGAAGUGGAGACUGAAGUGAGCUAGCAGGCUAAUGCGGCUAGCAUCUCAAGCCGAGAGGGGCGUCCGAAUGGAGGCGCGCUGUGGAAACGAGAUAUUUUUGUAUUAUUUUUUGAAAAAAUCCUGCAAAAACACGGAUGCCGGGAAAAUUCUAUAAAAAAUCCGGAAAAUUGUCGCAGGCGACGACGUAUGGGUUGAUGUGGGUCGUUUGAUUGAGCGAGGUGGUUUUGUGCAUUUUUUAAACGUUAAGUUUGAGCGGGAUUGGUGAUGUGCGCGAGACGGCCGGCGAGCCCGAGAGCCUAUCAGAGAGCAAUACACCGGGAUGCCACACCGACCAACACUGCCCUAUUCUUUACUAGUUUUUUUGUUACUCUUUUGGUGAAAUAAAAAAGCAACGAUGACCAGACUGCCUUUUCUUAUUUUCUCCGUUUUUUUUCUUGAACUAUAAAUACACACACAGUGCGCUCUCAGAAUGCUCAGUUGCCAACUUUUUUUCGUUUUGUCUUUUUGGACGGAUUAACAAAUAUGACUGCUCAGGCCUUUUAGGAAUGGCUUGGUUGGGAUGUCAGAAACUAGAAAGCAAUCCAAGAUAGAGUCCUGGAAUGCCUGAAGCCCUGCUGAGAGAAAGAGAGAGAGAAAGGAGGAGAGGACGGAGUCACUGGCUCUGUGGUUCUGCCGGUGCUCGGUCAUGUAGCCGAGGCUCUCUAGGUGAUGGUGUAGCAGCACAGAAUGGUUUGUGGUGAUACAGAGAUGCAGGCCAUGAUGUGCUGCAGCAUCAAUUCCUGGGACCUACGCAGUUGAGAGAACGACAAGUGAGAGAGGUUGUGUGUGUGUGCGUGUGUUGUCUUGCUUUAGCAGCAUGUAAAUAUUGGAGUUACUCCUUGGCCAAUGCCUCCAAUAUUGCUCGUGCUGCUGAAGCAAGAAGUCACCAAGCAGCACAUGCACGUCAUCCUUUUUUUAUAUUUAUCACAGCUACCAGGGCCUAGUCGGUGCAGGUAGAGACUGAUUCACUGCUACUUAAAUGGACUCCUUAAUCCAACAUAGGGAAGUCAGGAGGACAACAAACUCAGUGGUCAAAGGUAAUGAGAGUUGGAGUAUAGUUUUGCUUGGGAUGUGAUUUUUUUUAAUUAUUAUUAUUAAGCGUGUGUGUGUGUGUGUGUUUUCUGAGAUGUUUAACCUGAAUUAUUAAUGCUUAAUGGUUUUCCUAAACGUGCUGUUGCUUGUUUUUGUUAAUGCAAAUAAAAAAAACUGAAAUGAGCUAACUA